UACGUAGGGCGCAAGCGUUGUCCGGAAUUAUUGGGCGUAAAGAGCUCGUAGGCGGCUUGUCACGUCGGGUGUGAAAGCCCGGGGCUUAACCCCGGGUCUGCAUUCGAUACGGGCAGGCUAGAGUGUGGUAGGGGAGAUCGGAAUUCCUGGUGUAGCGGUGAAAUGCGCAGAUAUCAGGAGGAACACCGGUGGCGAAGGCGGGAUCUCUGGGCCGAUACUGACGCUGAGGAGCGAAAGCGUGGGGAGCGAACAGG
rnacentral:rRNA from 1 species